GAGAUUUUGAACCCUAACCCCUCUUCAAAGAUGCGAAUAAAGAGGCGACGAACAGAGAUUGGAAGAGGCCUUUGGGGGGAUAAAGAAUCCCAGAGUGAAGACUUUUUGUGCAAAGACUAGGAAAGUAGAGGAAGAGAAAUUGAGCUCAUCACCUUGUUUGAGUGUGCUGAUGAUGAUGAAGCAAGAGAGGCCAAGAAAAUUGGAAAGAAAAUUCUGAUGACGACCAUGAAAUUUUCCUUGGCAAAGGCAGCCAUACUCAGCAAGUGCAACACAUUGAUGCUGUCUACAUCGCCCUCUAUGUUCGUCUCUCAUCGCCUCCCCUCGCCUCACCGCCGUCUCUCCUCGCCUAAAGGCCUCUUCCAAUCUCCAGAGGCAAAAAAAAAAAAAUAAAAAAAAAACUUUUUCUUGAAACAUAAAAAGAAGAAGAAAGGGGGCUUUUAUUGUGGAUUUAUUGGGUUAGAUUUGUUGUGGAUUUAUUGGGCCUUUGUCUGUGCAACUUAGGGGAGAGUUUUCAAGUUCCCUAAGUUCGGCAAUUUGUAUUGAAAACAUAUCUUGCUUUAUGGAAAUGCUGAUAACCAGGAUUUUGUGCUGAUUGUCCCAAUAUGCAAUAGUCAAUAGCAAAUAAAUUUUAUUGUGAUUUGGUUGUGGUUAUUUUUUUUUUUCUUUUUUCUUUCUUUUCAUCUCUUCAAUUGUAGUUCAUCACUCUAUUAUACCAUAAAAUCUGUUGUCACUACUUAGUGCUCCGUUUGUUCUUUUUACUUAUAUUGGUAAAUUCAAUUGCAUGACUCUUUUGCUUGUUGUUUCCCUCCGAAGAACCCUACAUAGUAUGCUUAAGCUUGUUGUGGAAGUUGAUGAAUCAAUGACUCUAAGACAAAUAAUUUCCUCGUGCAUCAAAUAAAGAUCAAACUAUCCGAAAAAAGUGAAGAAAUUCACACUUGAUGGAGCAGAGCCAAGGGAAAGUUAAGUCAAUGAACCCAAAGAUAAUCAAUUAGAUUGACACCCAUUAAUGGAUAAAAGAUGAGAUUAUAUAUGUUGUAUAAGUAUUUCUACUUUUUUAUAUGAUUGCCAUUACUUAUUGUUUUUAUGGUAUGCUGCAGCUAGUGGAACACAACAAUGUUGUUGAUGAGUUGGACAGCUACGAUUGAAAGCAGAAACUGGGGAUGCCAUUUGAUUUAGAACAAGACAAUGCCAUUUUGUUUCCUUGUUUUGGUGUUGAAUGGUAUUCAUGGAUGAAAUUUUAUUUUCUUAGUUGUUAGCCAUGAUCAUACUGAAAUUUGUUUGAUUAAGUUGUGGCAGUGAUCAAUUUUGUUAUUCUCGUGUUUGGCAAAUGUAGAAGUUGCUGAAAAUUAUUUGUCUUGGUAAUGCUAAUAAAUGAAAUUAAUGUUUUCAUUCCAAAUGGAUUAUUGUAUUUGUCAUUUGUUAAUGUUAGAACUCAAUUGUCAGUUAAAUGAAUACACUAUUUCCAGUUGAAUGGAUACAGUUUGCCAAUAUAUGGUUUGUUGCCUGUUUAAAUGAGAGAAAAAAAAGAGUUGGUUGCUUCAAAGGACCACAUAUCAUUUUAUUCAAUCAACAUUGUCAUUGCAAAUGUUAAUCUAACUAUAACAUUCAUAUUAAUUAUAAUACAUCAUUCAUUUUGAUUCAAUUUGAUUGUGAUCAAUCCAGGAGGAGAUCAAGUAAACCAAACCCACCCAUGAUUGGGAAGAGAUCAACGAAUCCACUUGAAUCAUACACCCCAUGCUUUCUAUCGAAUUCCCUACUUGUACAAAUUCAAAACAAAAUGUGCAACAGUCUAGGCCAACCCCAAACCAACAAAGUUAUCAUCAAGAUCACUAGCAUUCAGAACAAAAACAAAAAAGAAACAACCAAUCAUUAAAAAAAAAAU